rnacentral:rRNA from 1 species
UGAGCAAUCUGCCCUUCUCAUCGGAAUAAGCGUUGGAAACGACGUCUAAUGCCGAAUACGACCUCCUUUCNCAUGAUCGGAGGUGGAAAGCUCCGGCGGAGAAGGAUGAGCUCGCGGCCUAUCAGCUAGUUGGUGUGGGUAAUGGCCCACCAAGCGACGACGGGUAGCCGGCCUGAGAGGGUGACCGGCCACACUGGGACUGAGACACGGCCCAGACUCCGUACGGGGAGCAG